rnacentral:rRNA from 1 species
UGGCAGGUACAGCGGGAAGCCAGGCGGCGACGCCGAGCGGAACCCGAAAACCUAGUCUCAGUUCGGAUCGGAGUCUGCAACCCGACUCCGUGAAGCUGGAUUCGCUAGUAAUCGCGCAUCAGCCAUGGCGCGGUGAAUACGUUCCCGGGCCUUGUACACACCGCCCGUCAAGCCAUGGAAGCCGGGGGUGCCUGAAGUGUGCAGCCGCAAGGAGCGCCCUAAGGUAAAACCGGUGACUGGGGCUAAGUCGUAACAAGGUAAC